CCUACGGGAGGCAGCAGUGGGGAAUAUUGGACAAUGGGCGAAAGCCUGAUCCAGCAAUGCCGCGUGAGUGAUGAAGGCCUUAGGGUUGUAAAGCUCUUUUACCCGAGAUGAUAAUGACAGUAUCGGGAGAAUAAGCUCCGGCUAACUCCGUGCCAGCAGCCGCGGUAAUACGGAGGGAGCUAGCGUUGUUCGGAAUUACUGGGCGUAAAAGCGCACGUAGGCGGCUUUUUAAGUCAGGGGUGAAAUCCCGGGGCUCAACCCCGGAACUGCCCUUGAAACUGGGAAGCUAGAAUCUUGGAGAGGCGAGUGGAAUUCCGAGUGUAGAGGUGAAAUUCGUAGAUAUUCGGAAGAACACCAGUGGCCAAGGCGACUCGCUGGACAAGUAUUGACGCUG
rnacentral:rRNA from 1 species